rnacentral:piRNA from 1 species
UUCAUGCCUUCAAAACCAGUACCACCG